AACGCACGAGACCUGCGGACCUGUGGAAGGAUCAUUAGUGAACGCCCUCACGGGCUUAUAACUAUUCCAAACCUCUGUGAACCGUGCCCUUCGGGGCUAUUUUACAAACAUGGUGUAAUGAACGUCAUAUAUCAUAACAAAACAAAACUUUUAACAACGGAUCUCU
rnacentral:misc_RNA from 1 species